rnacentral:lncRNA from 1 species
AGCAGCAGAAGAAGUUUCUAGCAACAAAAUCAAACAUUUGCAUUUUUCAUUUCCCAAAACCCUAAACAAAACCCUUCACUCUCUCACUCGAGACACUCACUGACGCGCAAGCAAUGGCCCAUAUCGCCAUCUUCCGCCUCCGCUGGUCACUACCGUCCGUCGCCGCUCUCCGCCGCCCUCUCUCUGCGGCCGUCCCUGCACUCUUCGCAUCCACUCCUCUGGUAAACCCUUCCAUUUCAUCGGCGUCGGCCGUUCAGAUCGUCCCCGACGAUCUCCCUCUCGUCUACGCCGUCGGGUAACAAGACGUACCACUUGUAUAAGGACGGCGACGAGAUCACAGCUGACACGAUUCUGUUCGAGGGUUGCGAUAUCACUGGCUUAUCACUAUGGAGUUUCCUAAAGACCCGAAACCCACGCCCGAAGAAAUGGUUCGGACCUAUGAAGAGACUUGCGCCAAAGGACUCAACAUUAGGUCUUUCUCUAUUUUGUCUUUCUCUGUAACUCUAUUUAUAUUUUUAAUUAAAUUAAUUAUUGUUAUCUGAUGCUGUACCGUACAUCCGCCUUGGCCGUACAGCAGUAAUAGAGCAUAUUAGCAGUUAUCUAAAAAAAAAAAAUUAGUUAAAUUGUUGUAUGAUUUUAAGAUACUUUCAAGUUUGACCCCCUACCUCAAUUGUCAGAGAGGUAAAAAAAAAGAGUAAAUAACAUGAAAAGAAAGUAUAUGAAGUCAAAAAAAAGGUUGGGAGUAAAUAAGUAAUAUACAGAUGCAAGGCUGCUUCGAUCACAUUUGAAGUUAAUUACAAGCAUAGCUCUUCAUAUUUAAGUAAAUAUAAAAUAGAAUAUUAGCUAUUGAAUAGAUUAUAAGCAUAGAUCUUGACUUUUGAAUUUAAUUACAAAAAAUUUGGUGGAUUGGUGAACAGAAGAAAUCCAUUCGUUCCACCGAUUACAUUGAGGAUUUUAAUGAAUCCCAAUCUUAGGUAACACGCUGAUGCCAAUAAGAUAUCAAAUGCGGGAGAUACGAGACUAUUAACUUUAAGCUCUGUUUGGUACAGUUUUUCAAGUAGAAUUUAUUUAAGUAGAGGUUUUGCUAAAAAAAAGUUUAGUUGUUUGGUUGUCAAUAAGAGCUUUUAUUAAAAAAUUAUGACAUUACUUUAAUAGACAAGUUUUUUAAAGUUAUAUUAUGAAAACAAUAAAUAAGAUUGUUAAAUAAGUAGAAAUUGGAUGCAGCUGUCAUUGAUAAGUUCGAUGGUUACUGCACAUGUGUAAUUUGUCUUUCAUGUUUUUUCACUUUUUUCCCCCAAGGUUUAAGCCUUUUUUCUCUAUCUUUAAUUGUUUAUUCAUAUGAUUAUUGGUUCUUGUUUGAGAUUAUUUAUUUUUGCAAUAGAAUUGAGGUAUUAUUUCAGAACUUUUGAGAUGCCCUUGCACUUUGUUGUGAAGAACGCUGUAACAUUUAUGAAGAAAACUGAGGAUAAACAAUGAAAUUAUGGAUAAUUAAUGGUUGUGGUAAGUUGUUUCUUAUCGCUAACACCAAAAAGCUGGCAUUUUAGUUUUGUAGAGUUUAGAUUGUCAGUGUUGUUAUUUAGAAAUACUGGUAUGACAGGUAAAGUAGAAAGAUAAUAGACAUGCUGUGGAGUAAAUAAAUUUGAAGAAUCAGAAUCAGAAUUUGUGUGACUAUGAAAAACAGAUUCAGUAGCAUAAGGAAAGGUUGACUCAUCAAAGAUAACAUGUCUUGCCACAUAGACUUGACCUGAAGAAUGUAAGCAUUUAUAACCCUUUUGUGAAGGACUAUAACUAAUGAAUAUACACUUUCUGGAAUGAUAGGCAAACUUAUUUUUGUUAUAGUCUCUCAAGUAAGGAUAACAAAUACAACCAAAACAUUUGAGAAAAUCAUAAUCAGGUUUGUGCUUGAAUAUCUUCUCAUAUGGGGUCAAAAGUUUGAAAACAGAAGAUGGUAAUCUAUUGAUGUGAUAUAGAGCAGUAUGGAAUGCAUCCCACCAGAAUUUAAAAGGAAGUUGAGCUUGAGCCAACAGAGUCAAACCUAAUUCAACAAUAUGCCUAUGUUUUCUCUCAACCAAUCCAUUUUGAUGGUGAGUAUAAGGCCAAGAAUGUCUGAAAAUGAUACCUGAGUGGUUUGAGAACUCAUUGUUGAAAAAAAACGAGAUUGAAGUUGUUUGGCUACUGAGAAAGAAAAUCAACUGUUCUGGAAAUGCUUAAUGAAUUUUAUUUCUCAACAACUUAAUCCAUGAUAUCAGUACAGCAGCUAUAUAUAUAUAUAUAUAUAUAUAUAUCUUAAUCAUGAUUACAUUUUAACUAAUCUAAAACUAAUCAUUAUUAAACUAACUAAUCUUCAGCACAAUGCACAGUGGGCUUGUAACAAAAUUUAACUGAUUUUGCUGAGCUAUCAGUUGAGCUGGCACAGCUAAUACUCUUGCUCUGUAUUUUCUUCACUUUAGCUUUCUCCUUCUUUUGUUCGGCAUAGUGAGCUACUUUAACAGGCAGACUACCUAAUCUUCAAACUCGUAGUAUCUAGAGAUUUGAAUUAUGAUUGUUCUGGGGUUUCCAAAAGCCUAUGCGAACUACACAAACUUGAAUGCUUGAAGCUGGUGAACGAAACCAAGAGGUGGUAGUUCUCACGUAUGGCCCUGUCUAAAUACCAGCUUCUCCAAGUCUGAUCCAUCUAAGCUUAUCAAAUACUGAGUUAUUGGAGGAUACCAUGCUAACACUAGACAAGCUUCCACACCUUCAAGUGCUGAAAUUGAGGCAGAACUCAUAUUCAGGAAGAAAACUGUCUUGUGUUUGCUCUUGUGGUUUCCCGGAGCUCAAGGUAUUGCACCUGAAAUCAAUGUAUUGGCUAGAGGAUUGGAUGAUAGGGGCUGGAGCAAUGCCAAAACUUGGAAGCUUAAUUGGCAACCCUUGUGCUUACUUGAGAAAGCUUCCUGAAGAGCUAUGGCGCAUAAAGAGCUUUUGCAAAUUGGAGUUACAUUGGCCUCAGCCAGUGUUGAGGCAAAAUCUACGGGCUUUUGAGGAAAUGGAGCAGCAGUAUGACAUCCAGUUGUAUCCUUAUGGAAUUUGAUGGAUUGAAUUGGAUGAGUUUUAUUCUUCUAUGAUAACUCAAUCUUCAGUUAACUUGCCUAAUUCGGUAUUCAAUUUUUCCAUUUCCUCAGUCUUGAUUUAUAUCUGCAGUAAUACCUUAAAGGACUCUUGCAAAUGCUGGUCUAAUUGUUCUUGUUUCUAAUAGCCAUGGACAUUGCUGCAGAGAAACAAAGAAACCUCUGUAUUUUAAUAAGUAAGAACAGUGUAAUAGCAGAUUUUCAUUUGUGAUUCUUAUUUUCUUGUAUUUGUUUAGGUAAAAUCAGAGAGGGAAACAUCACCUACCAGACCUUCAAUUUCAACUGUGAUCCAGCAUUCAUCCAUUCUUUCUUUGUUUCAGCUGUUAGUAGAUUUCGAUGACGCCAUGGCUACAGUAUUGUCCACAAACUUGAAUAAUAUUUUUUUUUUAAUUUAGUGGGUAUGUAUAUUGUAUUAUUUAUUUGUUGUUGUGUGCUCAGAAGUACUGCAAUUGCAUAUUGUUCUUUGCUUGAAAAUGUAUGUUGUAUUAUUUAAGCCCUGGAAAAUGUGAGAAGAAAAAGAAAUUAAACAAGAUUACACUACAUUAGCACAUUGUUCUUUGCUUGAACUAAGUUUUUCUUUUCUUUAGCUUUUGUUAAGAUGCUGUCUUAACCUUCCUCCUUUUUCCUAUUGCUAGUUUGAUAUCUCUUAUCUUUUCUUGAACCAAGAAAUUUGCCUUUUCUUACAAGUAAAGUUCAAAUGCUCUUUCUCUUUUCUCUUAACUUCGGUUUACUUAUGCAAUCAUUUUCAAUUCUACCAAAACCAUCCAUUUAUCAAUACCCAGUUUGUUCUACAUUCUAAUUUUGCUAUGCCUUCCAACUAAUAUUUGAUUGUGUUGCUUAUAUCGUCCGAAUAUUGAAGUCCUUGAUUACCCAAUAUAACAAUAGCAGGUACUUCAAUUAUUAUUCACAAGUUAUAUUUCUUUUUUCAUUUUCAUGUGUCUAAAUCAUCACUACGCAUGUAACUUAUUUUGUAAAAAUCAUCACUCACAUACUCCUCGUUUCUAAAUUACUUUUUUUAAAAGACCAAAGUUGAAUUAUGUCAUUAUAAACUCUUGAACAGAACAAUCAUCAUCCUUCAUAUUAAUGUUGUUUGUCAGACAGAACUAACAAUCCUUUAUCAUUUGUUGAUGGAGAUUUUCUGGAUUGAUCAACUUAAUAGUUAUGAAAACCAUCCCCUAACCCCAAAGCAACAAAAGAAUCUACAACCAAACAGAGGUAAAGAUCGGGGUACAUAAAACGGAACGAAAAUAGAUAAUAAAUACCAAAGUUAUCUACUGGACCGAGAGUGCCUUGAAAUAUUUUCUGCUUAAUAGAAUAGUAGGGCUCUAGACCGCAAAAGUAAAAGCACUGGAAAGUAAUAAAAUGGGACGUCAAAAUUUUAUAUUGGUCUGUUGAGUUGUGUCCUCAAGAAUUAGUCAUUUAGACUUUAAAGUAGGAUUGGUCCUUCCACCUAAUAGGCAAGGUUUUUAUGUUGAUACUUAGAAAUCUUAGCAUUAGCUCCCCCAAGUCGUAUCCAAAGCAAACCCUCAAAAUAUAGUGGUGGAACAACUCAUGUAUGUUGAACGAAAAUAACCUUCCAACAGUAGUUUUGUCCAAAGAAAAUUAUUGUUGUGUCUCAUAUGAGUUAGUAAAGGGAAGCCACUUGGAUUUAU